rnacentral:lncRNA from 1 species
CCCCACCGUCCCCUUCCCCUUUCCCCUUCUCCCCUUAAAUACGAUAGGUGCAUCCUUCUUAUUGACAUGCGCUUUAACACUUACGAUCCAUAUUUACUACUAGGAAAUUACAAGAUGUUCAAAACACCCGAUAUUCCAUAUCCAAUCCAAACCCAACUUGGCCUGACCCGAACUCGAUUCAAACCUUAUAAAAGUGGAUACUAUAUAGGUUAGAAAAUUAUAUAUCCAUUGAAGUUUCAGAUAUGGAUCCAAAUACAUUAUACCCAUACCUAACUCAGACUCGACCCUGACCUCUUCCUUUGAUAAGUAGGGUCUAGAAUCAUUUUCAUAUCCGGACCCAGACCCGGACCUCCACUCGGGCCUAGAAAAAUAUCCGAAUGUCAAAAGUUAAAGCGAAGAGAAAAAAAAAUAGAAAACUAGAUACUUAUUCUUUUCACUAUAAUAUUUUAGACUUAUUGUGUAUGUGUUUUAACUAUAUUAUAGUAGGCGCAUCCAUUUCAUACUUUAUAAUAUAUCAGUGAAGUAAUCCGCAUGAUGCGACGGAUAGAUAAUAGAAAAAAAAAUAUUUAUGGGAGAAAUAAAAACAUAGGAAUAUAGAUAUCCCAUGACUGUUGAGAAUAGGGCAGCCGGCGAUGACACUAUAUGUCGUCCUUAUCAAGAACGCAUGAGAAGCAGGAGCAGUGGAUAGGGGCCAAAGGGCUUCAAGUAGCGAGUGAGAGGAAAAAGGGGAGAGAAAAAAAAAAUUAAAAUCAUGAGUGGAGAGAUUUGAAACUGCUACGUAGGUAAGGUGAAGGAAGAGAAAGAGACGCCGCUAUCAAUUUGGGAGAUAAAGAAAAGUAAAAGAUGGGAGGAAAAAGAAAAGAGAAAGAAAGAGAGUUGAAGGAUGUGGCUGUACGGGAGAGGAAGUGUCUUACAAAGAUAAAAAAGAAUAAAAAUAAAUAAAUAAAUAAUGGGUCCCACAAUCCUUAAAUGAGGGUGGUAUAUCCACAUAGGAUUUGGUCAUGAGAAAUCAUGUGUAGGUAUAAAAGAUGUUAUGUGACUAGUUGUAUGUAUUUUAUGGAAUUAUGUUAUAUAUGCUUUAAUUAUUACUAGUGUAGAGACCGCGCGAUGCAGUGGGUAGAUAAUAAAAAUAAUUUAAAAAUUUUAAUAAAAGUUAUAUUUACAGCUUAUUGAUAUAUAGAAAACUAUACCAUAUUAAGUACAACCAAUUUGCAUGACUAAAUUCAACUAUUAAAAAAAUAAAAUUAUAGCUAGAACAUACUAAUUAAUAGAAUAUUAAUAUGGUGCAUGUAAUUAAAUGUUACUAAUUAGAGGAGUGGGGAUGAAGGGUUGGGCGUUGAGAAGAGAAAAAGGUGGUUUGAUUUAAAGUUGGGCUAUGAGAAUGAAGGAUAGCAUGUCACGUGGCAAAAAGAAUUUUAUGGUAUAUGCAAAAGAGUUACAAAAGAGAGGAGGUGGGAGAUUAAUGGAGAAGGCCAGAGUGGAUUAAAGAAUAUUAAUAUGGUACAUAUAAUUAAAUGUUGCACUUUGCAUGUAAUUAGAGGAGUGGGAAGGUGAAGGGUUGGGUGUUGAGAAGAAGAAAAUGUGAUUUGAUUUAAAGUUGAGCUAUGAGAAUGAAAUGUAACAUACCACAUAGCAAAAAAUAUUGUGGCUUCAUAUAGGUUUAUAGAUGUUGUUACAUGUACUUAGGUGGUGGUUUUAUAUAUUUUUGAGUAAUUAAUACAUGAACAACUAUUGCAAUUUUUUUUUUUUUUUGACUUGUCAUGUAAUAAAUGUGUGUUUUAUACCAAUAAUAUACAUAUGAAUACCUAUACCCAAUCUAGAACAGACCGUACCCGAGCUAUAUCCAAUCUUAAGUGGGUAGUAUACAAAUAGUCACUAUCCAUACCAACUCAAAUGUACUUGACAGAUAUAUUAGAAAUUAAGUACCCAAACUCAAACCUGCCCCAAAAUUGAAUGGGUAUAGUAUGUUUUUUUUUCCUACCUUUUUUUAAGAUAUGGAUACAAUAUAUUAACAAUCCAGAUCCGAUCAAGUACACGAACAUCUCUAAAAAAUUAUCUCAUUGAAUUAUACCGCUAAAUUUAAUGUGUUAAAUUCUUGCUAAAGUCGAUGCAGUCUCUAUCUGCACAUAUCACAAGAUCUAUAAAUCUAUAUUCUAUAAUCUAUAAAAUACAUAAAUCUCCAACCCUAAAAAAGAUCCCUCCUUAUUUUGGGAGUUGUGGGGUCCACAUAUAUUUUUAUUAAGGGUUAAUUGCACCAUUGAUCGCCAACUUUUGCACUAUUUUUUUAUUUUGGUCCCUUAUAUGUUUUUUCAAUCAAGUUCCCAACAUCUUGAUUUCAUUGUGAUUACGUCAGCCAUUAAAAGAGGUGUUAAAAUUUACGAAAUUGCCAUUUCAGUGCCUACUUGAAUUUUUUUUGCAUGCCAAUUUUGGCCCCUAAACUUCGCAUAUUUUUCGCUUUAGUCCCUAAAAAUAAAAAUUUAAAAUUUUAAUUUAAAUUCAAAAUUAAUAUUAAAAUUAAAAUUUUAAAAUAAUCAAAAAUUAAAAUUUUAAAUUUUAAUUUAAAAUUUGAAUUUGAAUUAAAUUCAAAUUUUACAUUUGAAUUUUAAAU